rnacentral:lncRNA from 1 species
UGUAAACAAACCGUUUGUUUACAUACGGACUUAACUUCCAUGCACUUUAAUCAAGCUCUCUUUUGCCACCAUGCAUCCUCAUGCCGCUUAAUAUAAGUAAUCACGUUAGCAUGUUACGUUGUUGAAAUCAAUGGGCAGAUAUUGCAAAAAGAAUUAAUGAGCAAACUAAUUUGUUCCUUCUCUCAGAAUUAUUUAAAGCAAAGCAGUGCAAAGCAAGGCAAGGCAACGCAACGCAAAACACAGCACAGCAAAGCAAAGCAAAUAAAAGCAAAGGAAAGCAAGGGAAAUGAAAUGAAGUGAAGUGAAAUGAAAUGAAGUGAAGUGAAAUGAAAUGAAAUGAAUGGAAAUUAAAGCAAAGGAAAGGAAAUAUCUGCUGAUGAAAAUAACUACUUGUUUUAGAUUUUCCGAGGUAAUCACCAUCCUCUUCACGGUGUGACGCACACUCUAAUCAAUCCGAUCGAAGCUUCCUAUCUCCGAAUAAUCCCAGUCACCUGGAAUGACAAUAUAUGCAUGAGGAUUUCGUUACUUGGAUGUAAAGCAGGUGUGAUUUUAAAGUAAUAGUUUUAAAUUAUUACUUAGUUUUUUUUACAGUGAUAAUUUUAUCAUUAAGUGUAAUGCAAUCAUGCAAUAUAUUUGUACAUAUAAUGCUCGUUUCCAUAUUUUCUGUUUUUUUCAAAACUCCUAAUUAAGGAAAUAUCAAAACUACUGAGCUUGGAGUGUUUUAUUGUUUUUAAUUAGACUUUUAAAUUGUAUUUUUAAUUUAGCUUGAUUUUAUGUUGUUUCCAAUAAUAUAAUCUUUUUGUAAAAACACAAGAUCAUUCUAAAAAAUAAAAUAUUUAAAUAAUCUAUUUUAAGGAGUUGAAAUCGUUCCAACAACACUGCCUCGAACAUUGACACUACAGGCAACUACACGUGAGUAUUCUUCCAAUUUUAUAAAAUAUAUAUACAAAGUAUUCUUCCAAUUUUAUAAAAUAUAUAUACAAAGUACAAAACAAAACAUUCGUAUGUUACUAAACCAAAAUAUUGAAAUUGAAACAAGACUUGUGCUGUACUUUAAUUAUAUUUUUAUUUAUAGAUGGCAACACAGACGUCAUUGCUAAAACCGAAGGUGACUGGGUUUUGCUUAAAAAUUUAUAGUAAAUUAUUUGGAAUAGUGUAAUUAGACUUUCUUAGGAAAUGCGAUCAGGCUCUGUACGUCAUUUUUGGAUGGCAAACAGCAUGGAGACUGUCAGACUGUGAACAGCAACAAGUGAAGGAGUGGAAUUGGUGAAGUUAAAACACAGUACUAUGUUUAUAACUACUAAUUAGUUCAUUAAAUCAAUUUUUCGCUUCUUUUUAUUCUCUGUUGUUGCACCGUUUGCCAUCCAAAACUGCAUUGCAUGCGGCGUGGCAUGAGAGAAAC